CCUACGGGAGGCAGCAGUGAGGAAUAUUGGUCAAUGGACGAGAGUCUGAACCAGCCAAGUAGCGUGAAGGAUGACUGCCCUAUGGGUUGUAAACCUCUUUUAUAAAGGAAUAAAACGAGGCACGUGUGCCUUUUUGCAUGUACUUUAUGAAUAAGGAUCGGCUAACUCCGUGCCAGCAGCCGCGGUAAUACGGAGGAUCCGAGCGUUAUCCGGAUUUAUUGGGUUUAAAGGGAGCGUAGAUGGGUUGUUAAGUCAGUUGUGAAAGUUUGCGGCUCAACCGUAAAAUUGCAUGUGAUACUGGCAGUCUUGAGUACAGGUGAGGUAGGCGGAAUUCGUGGUGUAGCGGUGAAAUGCUUAGAUAUCACGAAGAACCCCGAUUGCGAAGGCAGCUUACUAAACUGUGACUGACAUUGAUGCUCGAAAGUGUGGGUAUCGAACAGGAUUAGAUACCCGGGUAGUC
rnacentral:rRNA from 1 species